GGGGAUUUGGCUCAGUGGUAGAGCACUUGCCUAGGAAGCGCAAGGUCCUGGGUUCAAUCCCCAGCCCCG
rfam:Rattus norvegicus chromosome 5, whole genome shotgun sequence.